AUUGAACGCUGGCGGCAGGCCUAACACAUGCAAGUCGAGCGGAUGAAGGGAGCUUGCUCCUGGAUUCAGCGGCGGACGGGUGAGUAAUGCCUAGGAAUCUGCCUGGUAGUGGGGGAUAACGUCCGGAAACGGGCGCUAAUACCGCAUACGUCCUGAGGUAGAAAGUGGGGGAUCUUCGGACCUCACGCUAUCAGAUGAGCCUAGGUCGGAUUAGCUAGUUGGUGGGGUAAAGGCCUACCAAGGCGACGAUCCGUAACUGGUCUGAGAGGAUGAUCAGUCACACUGGCACUGAGACACGGUCCAGACUCCUACGGGAGGCAGCAGUGGGGAAUAUUGGACAAUGGGCGAAAGCCUGAUCCAGCCAUGCCGCGUGUGUGAAGAAGGUCUUCGGAUUGUAAAGCACUUUAAGUUGGGAGGAAGGGCAGUAAGUUAAUACCUUGCUGUUUUGACGUUACCAACAGAAUAAGCACCGGCUAACUUCGUG
rnacentral:rRNA from 1 species